GGUUCGAUCCUAGCUCAGAUUGAACGCUGGCGGGAUACUACACAUGCAAGUCGGGCAGCAGCACGGACUUCGAUCUGGUGGCGAGUGGCGAACGGGUGAAGUAAUGUAUCCGGAACGUGCCUAGUGGCGGGGGAUAACUACGCGAAAGCGUAGCUGGCCACCGCAUACGCCCUUCGGGGAAAGCGGGGACCUUCGGGCUCUAACACUAUUAAAACAGCCGAUAUCGGAUUGGCUAGUUGGUGGGGUAACGGCUCACCGGGCGACGGUAGCUGCUUUGAGGACGACCAGCCACACUGGGACUGAGACACGGCCCGAACUCCUACGGGAGGCAGCAGUGGGGAAUUUUGGACAAUGGAAACCUGAUCCAGCCAUCCCGCGUGUGCGAUGAAGGCCUUCGGGUUGUAAAGCACUUUUGGCAGGAAAGAAACGGCACGGGAUAAUGCCCCGUGCAACUGACGACUGCACAGAAUAAGCACCGGCUAACUACGUGCCAGCAGCCGCGGUAAUACGUAGGGUGCCGACGUUAAUCGGAAUUACUGGGCGUAAAGCGUGCGCAGGCGGUUCGGAAAGAAGAUGGCAAAUCCCAGAGCUUAACUUUGGAACUGCAUUUUAACUACCAGCGGCCAGUGUGUCAGAGGAGAGGUGGAAUUCCACGUGUAGCAGUGAAAUGCGUAGAUAUGCGGAGGAACACCGAUGUGAAGGCAGCCUCCUGGGAUAACACUGACGCUCAUGCACGAAAGCGUGGGGAGCAAACAGGAUUAGAUACCCUGGUGAUCCACGCCCUAAACGAUGUCAACUAGCUGUUGGGGCCUUCGGGCCUUGGUAAUGCAAUAACGCGUGAAGUUGACCGCCUGGGGAGUACGGUCUUAAGUUAAACUCAAAGGAAUUGACGGGGACCACACAAGCGGUGGAUGAUGUGGAUUAAUUCGAUGCAACGCGAAAAACCUUACCUACCCUUGACAUGUCUGGAAUCCCGAAGAGGUGGGAGUGCUCGCAAGAGAACCGGAACACAGGUGCUGCAUGGCUGUCGUCAGCUCGUGUCGUGAGAUGUUGGGUUAAGUCCCGCAACGAGCGCAACCCUUGUCAUUAGUUGCUACGAAGGGCACUCUAAUGAGACUGCCGGUGACAAACCGGAGGAAGGUGGGGAUGACGUCAAGUCCUCAUGGCCCUUAUGGGUAGGGCUUCACACGUCAUACAAUGGUCGGGACAGAGGGUCGCCAACCCGCGAGGGGGGGCCGUCCAAGAAACCCGAUCGUAGUCCGGAUCGCAGUCUGCAACUCGACUGCGUAAGUCCGGAAUCGCUAGUAAUCGCGGAUCAGCAUGUCGCGAGCAAAUACGUUCGGUCUUGUACACACCGCCCGUCACACCAUGGGAGUGGGUUUUACCAGAAGUAGUUAGCCUAACCGUAAGGAGGGCGAUUACCACAGUAGGAUUCAUGACUGGGGUGGGGGUAUCUAAGGUAG
rnacentral:rRNA from 1 species